rnacentral:rRNA from 1 species
AUACGGAGGGUACAAGCGUUAUUCGGAAUCACUGGGCGUAAAGCGCGCGCAGGCGGUCUUUUAAGUUGGAUGUGAAAGCCUACGGCUCAACCGUAGAACUGCAUCCAAAACUAUUAGACUAGAGUGUGGGAGAGGAAGAUGGAAUUAGUUGUGUAGGGGUAAAAUCCGUAGAGACAACUAGGAAUACCAAAAGCGAAGGCAAUCUUCUGGAACACUACUGACGCUGAGGCGCGAAAGCGUGGGGAGCAAACAGGAUUAGAAACCCUAGUAGUCC